rnacentral:rRNA from 1 species
GGCAGCAGCAUAACCAUGUUGUAAUCUGAUGUCAUUAGCUUUCAGGAGCUACGCAAGGCUGUGCCUGGUCAGUCCUGGGUUGGGAGACCUCCAGGGAAACCAGGCUGCUGUUGUAC